rnacentral:siRNA from 1 species
GAUAAUCUGCAUGUGAUUCUGGC